AUUGAACGCUGGCGGCAGGCCUAACACAUGCAAGUCGAGCGGGGUUUUCGGACCUAGCGGCGGACGGGUGAGUAAUGCGUAGGAAGCUACCCGAUAGAGGGGGAUACCAGUUGGAAACGACUGUUAAUACCGCAUAAUGUCUACGGACCAAAGUGUGGGACCUUCGGGCCACAUGCUAUCGGAUGCGCCUACGUGGGAUUAGCUAGUUGGUGAGGUAAUGGCUCACCAAGGCGACGAUCCCUAGCUGGUUUGAGAGGAUGAUCAGCCACACUGGAACUGAGACAUGGUCCAGACUCCUACGGGAGGCAGCAGUGGGGAAUAUUGGACAAUGGGCGCAAGCCUGAUCCAGCCAUGCCGCGUGUGUGAAGAAGGCCUUCGGGUUGUAAAGCAUUUUCAGUAGGGAGGAAGCGUUGUGUGUUAAUAGUACACAGCGUUGACGUUACCUACAGAAGAAGCACCGGCUAACUCUGUGCCAGCAGCCGCCGUAAUAC
rnacentral:rRNA from 1 species